rnacentral:rRNA from 1 species
GUCAACGUCCAAACCACGUUGAAAAGUACCAGUUCUCGUCCGAUCACUGAAGUCAAGCAACGUUGGGCACGGUCAGUACUUGGAUGGGUGACCGCUUGGGAACACCGUGUGAUGUUGGCA